rnacentral:rRNA from 1 species
AUACGUAGGUGGCGAGCGUUGUCCGGAAUUACUGGGCGUAAAGGGUGCGUAGGCGGUAAGAUAAGUCAGAUGUGAAAUUCCGGGGCUUAACCUCGGAAUUGCAUUUGAAACUGUGUUACUAGAGUGCAGGAGAGGAAAGCGGAAUUCCUAGUGUAGCGGUGAAAUGCGUAGAUAUUAGGAAGAACACCAGUGGCGAAGGCGGCUUUCUGGACUGUAACUGACGCUGAUGCACGAAAGCGUGGGGAGC